rnacentral:rRNA from 1 species
GUGCCAGCAGCCGCGGUAAUACGGAGGGUGCGAGCGUUAAUCGGAAUUACUGGGCGUAAAGCGCAUGCAGGUGGUUUGUUAAGUCAGAUGUGAAAGCCCGGGGCGUUAACCUCGGAAUUGCAUUUGAAACUGGCAGGCUAGAGUCUUGUAGAGGGGGGUAGGAAGUUUCAGGUGUAGCGGUGAAAUGCGUAGAGAUCUGAAGGAAUACCAGUGGCGAAGGCGGCCCCCUCGGACAAAGACUGACGCUCAGAUGCGAAAGCGUGGGGAGCAAACAGGAUUAGAUACCCCUGGUAG